GACAGAGGGUGCAAACGUUGUUCGGAAUUACUGGGCGUAAAGCGUGUGUAGGCGGCUUUGCAAGUCGGAUGUGUAAGCCCCGGGCUCAACCCGGGAAGUGCACUCGAUACUGCAGAGCUUGAGUAUCGGAGAGGUUGGUGGAAUUCUCGGUGUAGAGGUGAAAUUCGUAGAUAUCUGGAGGAACACCGGUGGCGAAGGCGGCAUCCUGGACCGGUAUUGACGCUGAGGCGCGAAAGCUAGGGGAGCAAACGGG
rnacentral:rRNA from 1 species